UAGCUCAAAUUUGAAAUCUGGCUCUUUCAGAGUCCGAGUUGUAAUUUGCAGAGGGCGCUUUGGUGUCGGUAGCGGCCUAAGUUCCUUGGAACAGGUCAUCAUAGAGGGUGAGAAUCCCGUAUGUGGUCGACUAUCUUCACCGUGUAAAGCCCCUUCGACGAGUCGAGUUGUUUGGGAAUGCAGCUCUAAAUGGGAGGUAAAUUUCUUCUAAAGCUAAAUAUUGGCCAGAGACCGAUAGCGCACAAGUAGAGUGAUCGAAAGAUGAAAAGCACUUUGGAAAGAGAGUCAAAAAGCACGUGAAAUUGUUGAAAGGGAAGCGCUUGCAGCCAGACGUGCCUGUAGUUGCUCAUCUGGGGUUCUCCCCAGUGCACUCUUCUAUAGGCAGGCCAGCAUCAGUCCGGGCGGUUGGAGAAAGACCUGUGUCAUGUAGCUGUUUUCGGGCAGUGUUAUAGGGCAGGUGGAAUGCAACCAGUCUGGACUGAGGUCCGCGCAUCUGCUAGGAUGCUGGCGUAAUGGCUGUAAGCGGCCCGUCUUGAAACACGGACCAAGGAGUCUAACAUCUAUGCGAGUGUUUGGGUGUAAAGCCCGAACGCGUAAUGAAAGUGAACGGAGGUGGGAACCUUAGGGUGCACCAUCGACCGAUCCUGAUGUCUUCGGAUGGAUUUGAGUAAGAGCAUAGCUGUUGGGACCCGAAAGAUGGUGAACUAUGCCUGAAUAGGGUGAAGCCAGAGGAAACUCUGGUGGAGGCUCGCAGCGGUUCUGACGUGCAAAUCGAUCGUCAAAUUUGGGCAUAGGGGCGAAAGACUAAUCGAACUAUCUAGUAGCUGGUUCCUGCCGAAGUUUCCCUCAGGAUAGCAGUAACGUUUUCAGUUUUAUGAGGUAAAGCGAAUGAUUAGAGGCCUGGGGGCUGAAACAGCCUUCACUAUUCUCAAC
rnacentral:rRNA from 1 species